CGCGGCCUAUCAGCUUGUUGGUGGGGUGAUGGCCUACCAAGGCGGUGACGGGUAGCCGGCCUGAGAGGGUGUCCGGCCACACUGGGACUGAGACACGGCCCAGACUCCUACGGGAGGCAGCAGUGGGGAAUAUUGCACAAUGGGCGGGAGCCUGAUGCAGCGACGCCGCGUGAGGGAUGACGGCCUUCGGGUUGUAAACCUCUUUCAGUACAGAACAAGGCUUUCCUUUUUGGGGGGGCUGAGGGUAUGUGCAGAAGAAGCGCCGGCUAACUACGUGCCAGCAGCCGCGGUAAUACGUAGGGCGCGAGCGUUGUCCGGAAUUAUUGGGCGUAAAGAGCUCGUAGGCGGUUUGUCGCGUCUGCCGUGAAAUCCUCUGGCUUAACUGGGGGCGUGCGGUGGGUACGGGCAGACUAGAGUGCGGUAGGGGAGACUGGAAUUCCUGGUGUAGCGGUGGAAUGCGCAGAUAUCAGGAGGAACACCGGUGGCGAAGGCGGGUCUCUGGGCCGUUACUGACGCUGAGGAGCGAAAGCAUGGGGAGCGAACAGGAUUAGAUGCCCUGGUAGUCCAUGCCGUAAACGUUGGGAACUAGGUGUGGGGUCCAUUCCACGGAUUCUGCGCCGGAGCUAACGCAUUAAGUUCCCCGCCUGGGGAGUACGG
rnacentral:rRNA from 1 species